rnacentral:rRNA from 1 species
UUGGUGGAAAGUUUUUCGGCUUGGGAUGGGCUCGCGCCCUAUCAGCUUGUUGGUGGGGUGAUGGCCUACCAAGGCGACGACGGGUAGCCGGCCUGAGAGGGCGACCGGCCACACUGGGACUGAGACACGGCCCAGACUCCUACGGGAGGCAGCAGUGGGGAAUAUUGCACAAUGGGCGGAAGCCUGAUGCAGCGACGCCGCGUGAGGGAUGACGGCCUUCGGGUUGUAAACCUCUUUCAGCAGGGACGAAGCGUAAGUGACGGUACCUGCAGAAGAAGCGCCGGCCAACUACGUGCCAGCAGCCGCGGUAAGACGUAGGGCGCGAGCGUUGUCCGGAUUUAUUGGGCGUAAAGAGCUCGUAGGCGGCUUGUCGCGUCGACCGUGAAAACCUGGGGCUCAACCCCAGGCCUGCGGUCGAUACGGGCAGGCUAGAGUUCGGUAGGGGAGACUGGAAUUCCUGGUGUAGCGGUGAAAUGCGCAGAUAUCAGGAGG